rnacentral:lncRNA from 1 species
UGCACACAGAGCACUUGCAGAGGCCACAAGCUAUUAGAGCAGCUUCAAGGUGCCCCUGGGGCAGUGCAUAAGUAUAACCCCUGUGCGCCUACCGGUCCAGCUGUGGCCACUCAGGUGGCUCCGGGCCAGAGUGUGGCCCAAUCACAGCUGGUGUAUUUCAGUGGCCCCCUUCAACCUCCCGCCCCAGGACACCAAGCUCUCAGGAAGGAGCAGGGUGCACUGCCUGCACAAGCGGUGUCCCUCUCUGGCAGCCAGGAGAGCAGCCCCACCGUGCUCCCUACGCAGGAGCUGCUAAGGAAGCUCCAGGUUCCCUGUGUCAGCCCAGGGAUCAGGGACAGAAAAGCCCUUGGAAGCCUGGGUCAGCAAGACAGCCAGCAUGGAGAAGCAGGCUCCUCUUCUGCAGUCUACCUGUGCCCCACUGAGGGAGACUGAUAAUGGGCUCAUGGCCCUAGGAGGCCAAGAACUUCCUGCUGCCUCCUCCAGCCUCCUCCUGCCCCUGCAGAACUGGGAGUCCUCCACCGUGGCCAGCAGGCCCCUCACCAGGCUGCAGCUCCAGGAGGCACUGCUGAACCUCAUCCAGAAUGAUGACAACUUCUUAAGCAUAAUCUAUGAAGCCUAUCUCUUCAGCGUGACACAAGCAGCCAUGAGAACCACGUAACCAGCUACAUGAGAGCAAAGACUAAGAAUUGAUCUUCCAGGUUCUUCAUGUGAACUGGUGUGACCAAACACACUUAUGCCUUUUUAACAAAGUAUAGUGAUACAGAGUAAAAUGUUUUAUACUGUCUGA